AACGAACGCUGGCGGCAGGCUUAACACAUGCAAGUCGAACGGUUGUAGCAAUACAGCAGUGGCAGACGGGUGAGUAACACGUGGGAACCUUCCUAGGGGUACGGAACAACUCAGGGAAACUUGAGCUAAUACCGUAUACGUCCGUGAGGAGAAAGAUUCAUCGCCCCUAGACGGGCCCGCGUAGGAUUAGGUAGUUGGUGAGGUAACGGCUCACCAAGCCUACGAUCCUUAGCUGAUCUGAGAGGAUGAUCAGCCACACUGGGACUGAGACACGGCCCAGACUCCUACGGGAGGCAGCAGUGGGGAAUCUUGGACAAAUGGGCGCAAGCCUGAUCCAGCCAUGCCGCGUGAGUGAAGAAGGCCUCGGUUGUAAGACCUUUGGCAGGACGAUGAUGACGGUACCUGCAGAAUAAGACCCGGCGUAACUUCGUGCCAGCAGCGCGGU
rnacentral:rRNA from 1 species